UACGGAGGGUGCGAGCGUUGUCCGGAAUCACUGGGCGUAAAGGGCGCGUAGGCGGCUCGGUAAGCGUGUGGUGAAAGCCUGGGGCUCAACCCCGGGUCGGCCAUGCGAACUGUCGAGCUGGAGCACUGUAGAGGCAGGCGGAAUUCCGGGUGUAGCGGUGGAAUGCGUAGAGAUCCGGAAGAACACCGGUGGCGAAGGCGGCCUGCUGGGCAGUAGCUGACGCUGAGGCGCGACAGCGUGGGGAGCAA
rnacentral:rRNA from 1 species